rnacentral:miRNA from 1 species
UGUGUAUGUGUGUAUAUGUGUGUGUAUAUAUAUAUAUAUAUAUGUAUAUAUAUAUAUACACACACACACACAUACACACA